UUCUGCAACAUAGCAAUAAGUAAGCAUGCAUAGCCCUUCCCCAUCUUCCCGGACAGCACACCCAGUUUCCAGGAAGGACUCAUGAGUAAACACUAACACAAACUUCACCCACAUUUCUUUUCUUUCGCAGUCUCGAGCGAGACUUUCACUUUAUCUUUGAGAUUUAAAGUGUGCCUCCCUUCCAACUGAAACGGUGUACUCACGUAACAAGGCACUUCACCAGGACACGGGCAUGCAAGAGAAGAAUGUAAAGCGGCUAAGUUGCAAAGUAACCAUUCAGGCGAUCAAUUCGCCGUGCCCAGGGACACAGGUCUCCUCUCUCCAACCUGCAAGACCCUUUACAACCACCCCGGUGUUCAGAACCCCUUUUGCCCAUCUUGUUUUCCUGGAGUCCACCAGUGCAGGAAACUGGAAAAUGACAUUUAUUCAAUACCUUUCAGGAUCCUGCAUUAUGCUUACCCAGCGUUCCUCCUCUGAGUUAAGUUAAACCAUCACGGCCUGAUGCAUAAAUAGGUUUUUUAAAAAGGCUCCCCCCUGCACUGGGAAAAGAGAGGAGACAGGGAGGUGCCGAGGCUGCUCUGCCACGUCAUCACCCUCUGUUUCAUGUUUCUUUGUGGAGGAGUACAAAAGUACUACUAGACUGCAAAAUAUGUAAAUCCAAGUCUGAAAGUUUGAAAGCAGUAAAGUUGCAUCGUUCCAUAGUUCAUAUCAUUUUAUGGAAAAUAAAAUUAUUCUUCCAAAUACA